rnacentral:lncRNA from 1 species
UAUAUAUCACCCAACAAUGAGAACUGUUCUUAUUGAAGAAACCCGGUAGAGCAUUAACAAAAGAGAUAGAUAAUUAGAUAUAACCCAACAACGAAAAUUGUUGUUUAUGAAAAAACCUAUGUAAGGGGGAGAUGAGUUUAGUCUCUCGAUAUGUGAGGGGGAGAUUGUUAAGGUUGUCUACAUCGAUUGUGGAAGGGACUAGUGCGAGGGAAAAUCUGACUUUUUGAGUUAGCUUUUGGGGUGACAAGGCCCAAUACCACCCAAACAAACCUCAUAUUUUGUAAACUGGUUAACGCAGAAGAAGGAAGAAACCUGGUUUUACAUCCAACAGUUAAAAUUACAUCAUCAAAGGCAAGAUUCGUAAAGUAAGUAUCUUGAAAUAAUGGAUAGCUUUAAAACUCCAGCUUGAUCAUCAUAAGCUAAAACAUAAACAUAUAUGCUUACGUUUAAGCUUCCAACCAUAGCGAAAGUAAAAAAAAUAAACAUUACAUUAUUUUUUUGUUUCUUAUGAAGAUAGGAUGUUCAAUAAUCUCCCUUUAAUUCUUUAUUUCGAAAGUGCACGUCAGUACUAACUAGGCUGCAAUACAACGUGGACGGAACAAACCUCAUAUUUUGUAUUUCAUGGAAAGAAGCACUAACGAAAGAGAUAGAGAUGCAUUCAUAUAUAGUUAAAGACGAGAUAAGCACAUACAAAUAUACAUAUCUAUCAAACAAAGGUUUGAAAUAAUUGAUAGCUGCUGACAACCAUAGCAGAAGUAAAAAUCAAA